GAGUUCGUAGCUUGAAUGGUAAAUCGUCUGCUUACUAUGCAUGAGGUUUGGGUUCAAUUCCACGAGAUCA
rnacentral:tRNA from 1 species